CUAUACAUGCAAGUCGAGCGAACAGAUGAGAAGCUUGCUUCUCUGAUGUUAGCGGCGGACGGGUGAGUAACACGUGGGUAACCUACCUAUAAGACUGGGAUAACUCCGGGAAACCGGGGCUAAUACCGGAUAAUAUUUUGAACCGCAUGGUUCAAUAGUGAAAGACGGUUUCGGCUGUCACUUAUAGAUGGACCCGCGCCGUAUUAGCUAGUUGGUAAGGUAACGGCUUACCAAGGCGACGAUACGUAGCCGACCUGAGAGGGUGAUCGGCCACACUGGAACUGAGACACGGUCCAGACUCCUACGGGAGGCAGCAGUAGGGAAUCUUCCGCAAUGGGCGAAAGCCUGACGGAGCAACGCCGCGUGAGUGAUGAAGGUCUUCGGAUCGUAAAACUCUGUUGUUAGGGAAGAACAAAUUUGUUAGUAACUGAACAAGUCUUGACGGUACCUAACCAGAAAGCCACGGCUAACUACGUGCCAGCAGCCGCGGUAAUACGUAGGUGGCAAGCGUUAUCCGGAAUUAUUGGGCGUAAAGCGCGCGUAGGCGGUUUCUUAAGUCUGAUGUGAAAGCCCACGGCUCAACCGUGGAGGGUCAUUGGAAACUGGGAAACUUGAGUGCAGAAGAGGAGAGUGGAAUUCCAUGUGUAGCGGUGAAAUGCGCAGAGAUAUGGAGGAACACCAGUGGCGAAGGCGGCUCUCUGGUCUGUAACUGACGCUGAUGUGCGAAAGCGUGGGGAUCAAACAGGAUUAGAUACCCUGGUAGUCCACGCCGUAAACGAUGAGUGCUAAGUGUUA
rnacentral:rRNA from 2 species